GAGUUUGAUCCUGGCUCAGGACGAACGCUGGCGGCGCGCCUAACACAUGCAAGUCGAACGGAGCUGAGAGGAGCUUGCUUUUCUUAGCUUAGUGGCGAACGGGUGAGUAACGCGUGAGUAACCUGCCCUGGAGUGGGGGACAACAGUUGGAAACGACUGCUAAUACCGCAUAAGCCCACGGCCCGGCAUCGGGCUGCGGGAAAAGGAUUUAUUCGCUUCAGGAUGGACUCGCGUCCAAUUAGCUAGUUGGUGAGGUAACGGCCCACCAAGGCGACGAUUGGUAGCCGGACUGAGAGGUUGAACGGCCACAUUGGGACUGAGACACGGCCCAGACUCCUACGGGAGGCAGCAGUGGGGGAUAUUGCACAAUGGGGGAAACCCUGAUGCAGCGACGCCGCGUGGAGGAAGAAGGUUUUCGGAUUGUAAACUCCUGUCGUUAGGGACGAUAAUGACGGUACCUAACAAGAAAGCACCGGCUAACUACGUGCCAGCAGCCGCGGUAAAACGUAGGGUGCAAGCGUUGUCCGGAAUUACUGGGUGUAAAGGGAGCGCAGGCGGACCGGCAAGUUGGAAGUGAAAACCAUGGGCUCAACCCAUGAAUUGCUUUCAAAACUGCUGGCCUUGAGUAGUGCAGAGGUAGGUGGAAUUCCCGGUGUANCGGUGGAAUGCGUAGAUAUCGGGAGGAACACCAGUGGCGAAGGCGAACUACUGGGCACCAACUGACGCUGAGGCUCGAAAGCAUGGGUAGCAAACAGGAUUAGAUACCUGGUAGUCCAUGCCGUAAACGAUGAUUACUAGGUGUUGGAGGAUUGACCCCUUCAGUGCCGCAGUUAACACAAUAAGUAAUCCACCUGGGGAGUACGACCGCAAGGUUGAAACUCAAAGGAAUUGACGGGGGCCCGCACAAGCAGUGGAGUAUGUGGUUUAAUUCGAAGCAACGCGAAGAACCUUACCAGGUCUUGACAUCCGAUGCAUAGCACAGAGAUGUGUGAAGUCCUUCGGGACAUCGAGACAGGUGGUGCAUGGUUGUCGUCAGCUCGUGUCGUGAGAUGUUGGGUUAAGUCCCGCAACGAGCGCAACCCUUAUUGCCAGUUACUACGCAAGAGGACUCUGGCGAGACUGCCGUUGACAAAACGGAGGAAGGUGGGGAUGACGUCAAAUCAUCAUGCCCUUCAUGACCUGGGCUACACACGUACUACAAUGGCGUUUAACAAAGAGAAGCAAGACCGCGAGGUGGAGCAAAACUCAGAAACAACGUCUCAGUUCAGAUUGCAGGCUGCAACUCGCCUGCAUGAAGUCGGAAUUGCUAGUAAUCGCGGAUCAGCAUGCCGCGGUGAAUACGUUCCCGGGCCUUG
rnacentral:rRNA from 1 species